AUAUUUGUGGACAUUUACCACCCAAUGGUGGGCAGGGGGAGCGCAUGCUGAAACAAUAUUAGCAUCUGCCUCAAAAAUGAAUCGUUAUUUUAAGAAGAUUAUGUCUGAAGACCACAAUUUAAUAGAUUUACAUUGAUCAUCCACUAUGUUCCAGAUACUACAUGAUACUAACAAGACAACAGGAGAAGUGAUAUCAAAAGACAACGACUACACCAAAAUUUGGAGAAAAAGGUGAAUCCAGACAGUCACAGGUGAGAUCUGCCGACCUGGAGCAGAGCUGCUAGAU
rnacentral:lncRNA from 1 species